GUCAACGAUCAUACCAUGUUGAAAACACCAGUUCUCGUCCGAUCACUGAAGUUAAGCAACAUCGGGCGCGAUUAGUACUUAGAUGGGUGACCGC
rfam:Aedes albopictus isolate Foshan contig235514, whole genome shotgun sequence.